ACCUCCACCACCGUCCGCCACCUCCAUUCUCCCCGAUCUUCCACCUCCUUUCGAAUCAGAACUGAAAACCCGUCGCCCUCACCGCAAUUCGUUGCAACUCCCACCGCCACCGCCGCCUUCGACCGUGACAGUCGCGAUUCGCCGCGCCGACCACCGCCGCGGUCUGCCACCUCCAUUCCCCCGCGAUUCGCCCCACCGACACCCUCCGUGAUAUGCCGUGAUUCUUUCUACACAACUAUGGUAUUUCUCCAUAUUGCAGCACCAAUAUUUUUCCUUCUUUUUGCCUUUAUUUUCAGGUAUUUAGAUUAUGUGUUAGGGUAUUGUCCUAUCAGAAAAAAUAUGUAUCAUGUGUGUUGUAAUUGCAUUAAAACCUCAAUUAGAGGUGAAGAUAUAACAUAAGCAUUUGUGUUCCUGAAUUAGAAAA